rnacentral:rRNA from 1 species
AUCAAUAAGCGGAGGAAAAGCAACUAACCAGGAUUCCCCCAGUAACGGCGAGCGAAGCGGGAAGAGCUCGAGCAGGCAAUCUCUGGUGUCGAUCGCCAGCGAAUUGUGGCCGGCAGAGGCGGAUGCACCCGACGCGACCCCGUCGAAGUUGACCUGGAAAGGCACGUCGGAGAGGGUGAUAGCCCCGUGCGGGGCGGAGUCGCCGAGGGCCGCUACCGUCUUCGGAGAGUCGGGUUGUUUGGGAGUGCAGCCCAAAGUGGGUGGUAAACUCCAUCUAAAGCCAAAUAACGGCACGAGACCGAUAGCGAACAAGUACCAUGAGGGAAAGGUGAAAAGCACUUUGGAAA